rnacentral:rRNA from 1 species
UACGUAGGGUGCAAGCGUUGUCCGGAAUUAUUGGGCGUAAAGAGCUCGUAGGCGGUUUGUCGCGUCUGCUGUGAAAACUCGGGGCUUAACCCCGGGCCUGCAUUCGAUACGGGCAGACUAGAGUUCGGUAGGGGAGUCUGGAAUUCCUGGUGUAGCGGUGAAAUGCGCAGAUAUCAGGAGGAACACCGGUGGCGAAGGCGGGACUCUGGGCCGAUACUGACGCUGAGGAGCGAAAGCGUGGGGAGCAAACAGG